CAUUAAAAAGUUAGUUGUGGAAAUCAAUUUAUUUUGAAUUUAAUUUUUUAUUAUUAGUUUUUUAAUAAAAAUAUUGAAAAGUUUUAUUAUAGUCAAAAGAAUAAAUAUUUAUUAUUAUAGUUUAUUAGUAUAGUGAUAGAAAAUUUUUAAAUAUUUAAAAGAAAAUUUUGUUUAUUGUACCUUGGGUGUCAGGGUUAAUUAAAAAUCAGUAAAAAAUUUUAUUUUUUCGAAAAAUUUAAGAGCUAAAUUAAUAUUUAUUUUAAUGUAGAAUUAUUAUUUUAUAUAUUUAUUUGGUAAUGAAAUGUUAUUCGUUUAAUUUAAUAUCUAGUUAUUUAAGAAAUAUAUUUAAUAUAGGUUUUAAUUUAAAAUUUUAUUAUUAAUAAUGAAAUUUUAAUUUAUAAUAUAAUAUUUAAAGGGUUGAGCUUUUAAUUAAAUUAUUAUAAGUAAAUAUAUAAUUUAAAAUUAAGUAGAAUUAGAAUUUUUAAUUUUUAUUAAUAUGUUAUAAUUAAGUUUUAUUUUAAUUUUAUUUAUAUUUAUUUUAAUUUUUUUAUUAAAUAAUAUUAUUUAAUUUUUUAAUUAUAGAUAUAAUGAUUAAAUUAGUAUUGGAUUUUGUUAAAUAAAUUUAUAUAAGAUAGAUUUAGGUAAGGAAUUCGGCAAAUAUUUUUUUCACCUGUUUAUUAAAAACAUCUCCUUUUGAAUUUGAUUUUAGGUCUAGUCUGCUCAAUGAUUAAUUAAAUAGCUGCAGUAUUUUGACUGUACAAAGGUAGCAUAAUCAUUAGUUUUUUAAUUGAAAGCUUGUAUGAAUGGCUGAAUGAGAAAAAAACUGUCUAUUUAAAAUUUACAAAGAAUUUUAUAUUUAAGUUAAAAAGCUUAAAUUUAGUUAAAAGACGAGAAGACCCUAUAGAGUUUAAUUAAAUUUAUAUUUAUUUGAUUAAAGAAUUUUAUUUUUAUAAAUAUAAUUUUUAAUUUAAUUGGGGUGAUUUUAAAAUUUGUUAAACUUUUAAUUUUUUUUACAUUAAUUAAUGAAUGCUUGAUCCAUUAUUAGUGAUUAUCAGAUUAAAUUACCUUAGGGAUAACAGCGUAAUUUUUUUGGAGAGUUCUUAUCGAUAAAAAAGAUUGCGACCUCGAUGUUGGAUUAAAAUUAACUAUUAGCGCAGAAGUUAAUAAGUUGGGUCUGUUCGACCUUUAAAAUUUUACAUGAUCUGAGUUUAAACCGGUAUGAGCCAGGUUGGUUUCUAUCUUUAAUUUAUUAAUAUGUUUUAGUACGAAAGGACCGGGCAUGUAUAAAAUUUAUUUUUUUUGUGGUUAAUAUUAAGAUUGUUAUUUUGGCAGAUUAGUGCAUUAAAUUUAGAAUUUAAUUAUGUAUAUUUAUAC
rnacentral:rRNA from 1 species